UAGAUUAUACUGCAUAUUAUUAUUAUUAUUAUUAUUAUUAGUUUCUCUGGUAGAAAAGGUAAGAUUAUUGUAUUAAUGUUGCAUAGGUGAACUUUUCAAUUGUUGUUCUAUCCUACCAUAUAAAAAAUUUAAUGUUUUAUCCUAAUUAUGUAUGCUUAAGAAUUUACAUUGUAGGUUGGUGAUUGGUUUGGAACCAAUUUGCCAGUAGUUAAGCUUUUUGUAAUCUUGUUCGGUAGAUCAGUAAAUUCUGUCACGAGGGUUCAUUUUGCUUCCAUUAUAUGUGAGGUGCACUUGAUUAGAGGCCUAUUGAUGUAGGAUGACUUUAGGAAACUUGGGUUAAUGCUGCCUACAAUAAGCAUUGUUAUGGAUUUUAGUCAUGGAAAGUUUCUAGGAUUUGGGUUCUAAGAGGUAAAAGAAAGAUUUAUGUGUUUAUAAGAAAGGAGGGAGUUAAAAUGGAAUAAAAAAAUGGAUUCUCUGGUGUUUACAUAUAUACAAAAGAAGAUGGGUAGAUCUACCUAUUAUAACCCAUGUAUCUGGGUUUUUAUUUUUUUAAUGUCCUGUAAUAUUUGUUCACAUUGAAAAAUGGUACCAAUUUUAUAUCGUUUAUAAAUUGUCCUUUCUACAUUAAAGUACAAUGAAGUACUACUGAAAUUCAAGGACCUAGGUAAGUAAGUGUGAAUGGAACUAAUGAUAUUCUCACUAGCUAUGUAGGCAAUGAGGGGUGUGAAUAUGUCCUAAGGCGUAUUCUUCGUCGAGAUGUACGUUAUGGAACUGAAGUCCUAAAAGCUCAACCUGGAUUCUUCAAUGGGCAUGUAAAGGUGGGGGUGCAAGUGAUGGGUGACAUAUUUCCAGAGCUAAGACACCAUGAAGUGCAUAUCAGGGACACAAUUGUAACAGAGGAAACAACUUUUGGCAAGACAUUGCUUAAUGUAAGCUGAGCUAUGUCUACAAUGUUUUAGGCUUUUAGCUCUACUUUGUAGAUAAGUUGAAUUUGCUUCCAUUUAAGCCUUUGUUUGAUGUUUGGCUUGGACGUUCGUGUUUGUGGAACAUUUCUGAGAGAGUUUGUAGUUGGGUUGAAUGAAAUCUUGUUUUGA